UGGGGAAUAUUGGGCAAUGGGGGAAACCCUGAUCCAGCGACGCCGCGUGUGUGAAGAAGGCCUGCGGGUUGUAAAGCACUUUCGGUGGGAACGAAAUAUGCCGGGCUAAUACCCCGGUAGGCUGACGUUACUCAAUGAAGAAGCACCGGCUAACUCUGUGCCAGCAGCCGCGGUAAUACAGAGGGUGCGAGCGUUAAUCGGAAUUACUGGGCGUAAAGCGCACGUAGGUGGCGACGUAAGUCGGGUGUGAAAGCCCCGGGCUCAACCUGGGAACCGCAUUCGAGACUGCGUUGCUGGAGUACGGAAGAGGAGGGCGGAAUUCCCGGUGUAGCGGUGAAAUGCGUAGAUAUCUGGAGGAACACCGGUGGCGAAGGCGGCGUCCUGGACCAAUACUGACACUGAGGAGCGAAAGCCAGGGGAGCAAACGGGAUUAGAUACCCGCGUAGUCCCUGAGCGGGCUGGCAAGGCGCAU
rnacentral:rRNA from 1 species